rnacentral:ncRNA from 1 species
AAAUUAAAUAUUUAAUUAGGUGUUAUUUUAAUAAGUAAAAGGAAAAGUUGAAUACUGCAGUCCGCCGCUACUGUAUGGAGGAUGAAACUUUAUCAUGUCACUGGAUGUAUUGUCUGGGAAGACUAAGGAGUAAGAUGAAUCUGAGCCAGGAAGCCUGCCUAAUAUAUAUGUUGAUUC